rnacentral:rRNA from 1 species
ACUCCUACGGGAGGCAGCAGUGGGGAAUUUUGGACAAUGGGCGAAAGCCUGAUCCAGCAAUGCCGCGUGAGUGAAGAAGGCCUUCGGGUUGUAAAGCUCUUUUGUCAGGGAAGAAACGGUGAAAGCUAAUAUCUUUUGCUAAUGACGGUACCUGAAGAAUAAGCACCGGCUAACUACGUGCCAGCAGCCGCGGUAAUACGUAGGGUGCAAGCGUUAAUCGGAAUUACUGGGCGUAAAGCGUGCGCAGGCGGUUUUGUAAGUCUGAUGUGAAAUCCCCGGGCUCAACCUGGGAAUUGCAUUGGAGACUGCAAGGCUAGAAUCUGGCAGAGGGGGGUAGAAUUCCACGUGUAGCAGUGAAAUGCGUAGAUAUGUGGAGGAACACCGAUGGCGAAGGCAGCCCCCUGGGUCAAGAUUGACGCUCAUGCACGAAAGCGUGGGGAGCAAACAGGAUUAGAUACCCCAGUAGUCCCAU